AUUGAACGCUGGCGGCAUGCUUUACACAUGCAAGUCGAGCGGCAGCGCGGGGGCAACCCUGGCGGCGAGCGGCGAACGGGUGAGUAAUACAUCGGAACGUACCCAGGAGUGGGGGAUAGCCCGGCGAAAGCCGGAUUAAUACCGCAUACGAUCUUAGGAUGAAAGUGGGGGACCGCAAGGCCUCACGCUUUCGGAGCGGCCGAUGUCCGAUUAGCUAGUUGGUGGGGUAAAGGCCUACCAAGGCGACGAUCGGUAGCUGGUCUGAGAGGAUGAUCAGCCACACUGGGACUGAGACACGGCCCAGACUCCUACGGGAGGCAGCAGUGGGGAAUUUUGGACAAUGGGGGAACCCUGAUCCAGCCAUGCCGCGUGCGGGAAGAAGGCCU
rnacentral:rRNA from 1 species